UAUGGUGUGAGAUCAGACACAUUUUGCUGAUCAGAUGCGGGCGAUAGGCCUUUAAUGUUCUUCCAGGAGGGAAUAUUGCUAAAUGAUGAAAUGGAACAAUCCAAGUGUACAUGGAGCUCCAGAAACAAUCUCGUUGGGACCAUGAACUCUUUCCUGCUGCCAGCUGGAUGUUUUCACCCUUGGUUGGUUUGGGAACGAGAUGAAUUAAUAUUAAGUUCACUCCGUGGGACAAGACACACACACCUGGUGCAAUCACGGAUCUCAC